rnacentral:tRNA from 1 species
GGUUGUGGUUCAGUGGUAAGUGCGUGCCUCGAAUGCCUGAGGCACUGGGUUCGAUCCUCAGCACCA